GUCCACGCCGUAAACGAUGAAUGCCAGCCGUUAGUGGGUUUACUCACUAGUGGCGCAGCUAACGCUUUAAGCAUUCCGCCUGGGGAGUACGGUCGCAAGAUUAAAACUCAAAGGAAUUGACGGGGGCCCGCACAAGCGGUGGAGCAUGUGGUUUAAUUCGACGCAACGCGCAGAACCUUACCAGCCCUUGACAUGUCCAGGACCGGUCGCAGAGACGUGACCUUCUCUUCGGAGCCUGGAGCACAGGUGCUGCAUGGCU
rnacentral:rRNA from 1 species